UCUCUGUGCAGUUGUGCCCUCCCUGGGGCUCAGCUCAGGUCCGUGCCCCGCGGCUGGUGGAGUGUGGCGAGUUGUGCUUCCUGCCGGGCGGGAGCUGCCUUGGGAAGCUGCUCUGUCCCCACGGCUGUGCCGAGCUGGGAGCUUGGACAGGGAAGGGCAGGGCCCGUCCUGCCGGUGAGAAUUGGGUUGGGCUGGGGGAGGAUGGAAUGGAGUGUGUGCCUGUUAACUCCACGGAGAGCCAACAGCUGGGAGAGACCCCGAGCAGGUUUGGUGCCAUGAGAGCAGCUUCAAAAGACCUUGAGUGUUGGAGAAAUGUCCAGCAGAACCGGCUCCUUUUUUGCAAGGAGGCAAUUUGCAAGGACAGGGGGGUUGCUGUGCUCUCUAGCAAAAAAAGGUUUCCUUAUUCUCUCAGCAGGAUGUCGAGUGCCACCGUGUCCCUGAGGUCACCCUUUCUCCUGUUGGGAGAGCACGAGGUGUAUGGAGAGGAUCCCCAGGCAUCUGCAGGAACAAGGGACUUCUAUGACUCCAACUUGCCUACUGCAGCUGUAGGAUGGACUUUCAAGAUACCAUUGGGAAUGUGCCAGCACUCUCCUGCUGGAGUUUUUUUAUGCUGUAUUUGAACACAAUGAGUAAAACUAAAGUCAGGGAAUAACUCCUGUCAGCAGCAAGGUCCUGACUGAAGUGGCAGCUGCAGUUGUUCCUGUGGUGUGGGCCAGUGGAACUGCAGGAGAGUGGAAGAGGGCAGAACCUAAGGUGAAUGCAAGAACCUGCCAAGAAACCAAUGGCCAAGGGGAUUGAUUAGUGCAGGACCUGAGAGAACCCCCUGAAAUGACAACCUGGAGUAGUUUCCAGUAUUAGAUUGCAAAGAUGGCCUUUGCUGCAUCUCCUUGAGCAAGGAAAGCCAAGAAACCUUUGCUU